rnacentral:rRNA from 1 species
UACGUAGGGAGCAAGCGUUGUCCGGAAUCAUUGGGCGUAAAGCGCGCGUAGGUGGCCCGGUAGGUCCGCUCUGAAAGUCAAAGGCUCAACCUUUGAAAGCGGGUGGAUACUGCCAGGCUAGAGUCCGGAAGAGGCGAGUGGAAUUCCUGGUGUAGCGGUGGAAUGCGCAGAUAUCAGGAGGAACACCGGUGGCGAAGGCGGGUCUCUGGGCCGAUAUUGACGCUGAGGAGCGAAAGCGUGGGGAGCGAACAGG